rnacentral:lncRNA from 1 species
CUUGCAUAGUUGGCCAAGUACGACGUUCUGGCUACUAUGCUGCUAUGGCGGUAUGUCCACUCACAAGAUGAGUGGCGCUGCCCAAUAAACUCGCCCCUCGGGGCAAAAUUAAAAACAAAUUAAUACACGGAUACCAAUACUCAUACUAAUGGAAAAUAUUUAAAAUAGAGAUUAUUUCCAUUUUAACCACAAAUCUGGUGUUGUUUACCUUUUUAGUUGUGGGUGGCCCCUCACCACACAGACUGGACACUUGGGCAAGUUGUGUCCUGCGCUGUACGAGAUCGCUGUCAAGCCACGAAACACUUUCACUCACAGCAGUUUAAUUGUACUGACUUUCAAUUCUUUUUAAUUUUUUUAACUCGAACAUUGCAACUCAUUGGGAUCUAUUCACGUCACCAAUCUGAAAUCUAGAGUUGAAAAACUCAGACUCUUAUACUCUAUGGUUUACUCACUACUUUUCUUCCAUUACAAGUUUGUUGUUAUUAGGACAUUUUUCAAUUUAAUUUUGUAAAUUUGUUAAUAUAACUUUUUAUAUAUUUCGAUUAGAUUUUUAUUGUCCUAAGUCUCGUAAUUACUGCUAAUUUUCAUAAAAUUUUGAACAUUUUAAGCUAAUUCCGUUCGGAGAAGUUUUAUUAAUUUCGUUUAGCACUGAUGAGUGUCUGGGACACUGACAUAUUAAGACAAUAUUACAAAUUGUUACAGAUACAUUUCCACCAUUUCGCUUGUUUGAAAUCUGCACUGACGUCACGGCAGCGUUCCAUUUGCAUUAAUCAACAAACCUGUUAUAGAAUGGGUACCCGGCGGUGCUCGGGUCCCUGUCUCUCUCAACGGCCUGCAUGGAAAACUUCGGAUGCCCUAUGAUGAUAUUUGAGGUUAUCCUCAAGUGUAUUUUGUAUGGUAUUAGGUAUUAUGAGUAGGAAUUAUGGUAUUAUAUUAUAUUAUAAUAUGGUAUUUGGUACCGGGCACAGCUCAAGGUACCUACUACCAGCAGGAUAUGAAAACUUUAUCAUAAGCUAUGGAACGUCAAUUUUUAAAGCGACUACAGAGGUAAUAAUACAGCUAUCAACAACAGGGCAAGAUUCAGCACCAUCUAUUGGCAUAACAAUGCACUAUCAGCAGGCCAACAGCAGCCCAUAAGACCGGUUGCUGGGCUAAAGGAAGCAUUCCCGCACUUUCAUCUUAUUGGUGGAAAAUCUAAGUUGACAUUCAUCACAACAACCAAUCACAGGAAGGUAUCAUCACACCACCCCUGUUUAUAGUGUUAUGUUUCAACUCUAAUCUAUCCAAAAAGUGAAAAUUUCAAACAUUUGAAUUUGUUAGUUAAGUGGCAAUGAAAUAUGGUAGGAUAUAACCGUUGUUAUACAAAAAUAACCUGGCUACCUAACCUAUGACGUCCUCAGUUGGUGAACUUUAUGCUAAAUUCUGCCCCUCCAACACCCUUUCUCACUGUAUUUUGCAGGUUGUCCUAUUAUUGAUAGUAUAAUUUUAUUCUGAUAGAUGGCGUAAGCUGUACGUUAUAGGUGUUGUUGACCAGGCCUGCUGUUAGUGUGCUUUUCUAACAAAUAGAUAAAAUCAGCUGUAUUAUUUAACUCAGUAUUCCCCCAUAAACAUUGACAUUCAAAUUUCAAAAGUUACUUAUCGUAUACUAUUUUAUUUCACCCAUUUUAUACAUAAACUGUAUACUAAAAUAUUAUAUAAGUUUAUAUUAAUUUAUUCCAAUAAUAUUAUUUUAUACUAAUAUACUAUUUUAUUUCAUUCAUGUAUUACAGUAAAGUAAAUAUUGGGCUACCCUGUAUAUCAAGGUACAACCAACUUAUAUAUGCAAAACUAAUCCUGAUAUUAUAUCAAGUUAUUAUUAAGAAUUGAUUUUUAAAGCACAUGUAAUAAUAAUCUCCCGGCACCUUGGGCCGGGAGAUCUAUCAAAAGACGAGUUAAAUUCAAGUCAUUAUUUUGAUUUUUAAACUUAAGCUGCAAGUAUUUACUAUAAAAAUAUAAUUGCAAAUGUAUACUUGCCAUUUAAUGAUAUUAUAUUAAGGAAUUUUUUAUUGAAAACACGUUUUAGUAAUUAUUGAUGAAAAAAUCACACCUCCAGCCCAUGACAGGCUGCAAAGCUCAAGAAUCGGUGGAAUCGUCAAAUUUCGCAAAAGUCAAAAUCACAACCAGCCAUAGAAUCAUUUUCAAAAUGUGACCAUUGGAUUUACCACACCCUAUUAGUUUCAUUUAUGUUAAGUUUUUCUUUGCUGAUUUAUAAAACCUUUGGAGUUAUAUUUAUCGAGAUGCAGCCGAUUCAAGUGUGAAAAAAAUCCUGACAUUUUCUCAAGACAUUAUUAAGACAAGUGAGUUGAAGAACAUGUACUAAUAAUUAAAAUGAGCUUAAUAAUAAAUGAAUAAUAAAAA